rnacentral:rRNA from 1 species
CCAGACUCCUACGGGAGGCAGCAGUGGGGAAUAUUGCAAAAUGGGGGAAACCCUGAUGCAGCGACGCAGCGUGAGUGAAGAAGUAUUUCGGUAUGUAAAGCUCUAUCAGCAGGGAAGAAAAUGACGGUACCUGAUUAAGAAGCCCCGGCUAACUACGUGCCAGCAGCCGCGGUAAUACGUAGGGGGCAAGCGUUAUCCGGAUUUACUGGGUGUAAAAGGAGCGUAGACGGCCAUGCAAGCCAGGGGUGAAAGCCCGGGGCCCAACCCCGGGACUGCCCUUGGAACUGCAUGGCUGGAGUGCGGGAGGGGCAGGCGGAAUUCCUGGUGUAGCGGUGAAAUGCGUAGAUAUCAGGAGGAACACCGGCGGCGAAGGCGGCCUGCUGGACCGCGACUGACGUUGAGGCUCGAAAGCGUGGGGAGCGACCAGGAUUAGAUACCCUCGUAG